rfam:Ovis aries breed Texel chromosome 4, whole genome shotgun sequence.
UCCCUGAUGGCUCAGUUGGCAAAGAAUCCUGCCUGCAAUGCAGGAGCCCCAGGUUCAAUCCCUGGGUGGGGAA